rnacentral:lncRNA from 10 species
CCUCAGUGAUGUGGCUUCUUCCACGGGAGAGCACUGAACUGUGAGCCACAGUGGCCCCAUCUGGUGGCUGUCCUGCCUACUUCCCAGCCUCGUGAUCUUGGGCAAGUCAAUUCCCAUCUCUGAGCCUCAAUUUCCUCAUCCCUCUCCUGGGCUGUGGUGGAGAUGACAGGGUCCAGUGGUCAGGAAGCAGGCUGACGGCUGCAAAAUGUCCCUGGGAAAUGACAGGACACCCAGAUCUGCUGGGAGCAGAGUUCUCAUAGGGUCCCAGCUGAGCCCUGGAACUCCCCAGACCCCCUCUGCCACUCCAUCUCUGCGUCAGCCCAGCACCUGUGCCCUAUCCGGCUUUGGCCACCAUCUCCACCCUGGGGAGGGGGAGCAUAACCCCCUCCAGCCUGAGGUUGGCGCCAAGGUUUAGGAGCCAGCACAGAAGCCUCUGAGAGCCAUAAGGGUAGAAAAGGUUACCCGGUACUAAACCAGCCAGCCUCGGGGUGAUCUCAUCCACUUCCCAAGAUAAGCCCCCUCCCCCACCCUCUGGCCACUGGCCAACAGGAGACAGGUCUCUAUUGCUCAGGCUGGAGUGCAGUGGCAUGAUCAUAGCUCACUGUAACCUCAAACUCCUGGGUUCAAGCGAUCCUUCUGCCUCAGCCUCCCAAGUGGCUGGAACUACAGGGGUGUGCGACCACUCCUGGCUCAUUUUGUUCAACAUUAUUUUGUUACAACAUUGAUGAAGAAAAAAAUCUAUUUCUGGCUGGGGCUACUGUCUGUGUGGAGUCUGUAGAGGACUUUCUCUGGGUACUCUGGUUUCUUCCCCCAUCCCAAAGAUGUGCAUGUUAGAUUAACUAGCUUGUCUGCAUGCUCCCAGUCUGCAUGAGUGUGAGUGUACUCAAGGCAAUGGCAUCCUGUCUAGGCCUGGUUCCCGCCUGGCGCCCUGAGCUGCUGGGAUAGGCUCCAGCCAUCCAUGACCUUGAACUGGAAUAACUGGAUAAAUAAUUCUAUUACUUGUUUUUAUUAAUCUUUCUUUCUUUCUUUUUUUUUUUUUUUUUUGAGAUGGAGUUUCACUCUUGUUGCCCACGCUGGAGUGCAAUGACACAAUCUUGGCUCACUGCAACCUCCGCCUCCUGGAUUCAAGAAAUUCUCCUGCCUCAGCCUCCUGAGCAGCUGGGAUUACAGGUGCCCACCACCAAGCCCGGCUAAUUUUUGUAUUUUUAGGAGAGACAGGGUUUCGCCAUGUUGGCCAGGCUGGUCUCAAAUCCCUGACCUCAGGUGAUCCACCUUCCCCAGCCUCCCAAAGUGCUGGGAUUACAGGUGUGAGCCACCACACCUGGCCUUGUUUCUAUUAGUCUUUCUUACACGUGUUUCAAUGUUUAAUAUGAGAAGCAUUUGGGUCUUUAUUUAGAAGUCUGAUGAUAUUUCUAUCACCAGAAAUAUGCUGUAGGAACUUAACUCUUGUUUAUGUCAAUUAGCCUAUGACAAAAUUGGUUUCCUUGUAUGUCAUUUUGCUUAAAGCUGCAAUUUCCAAGAACUACAUUAAGUGAGGACAUUAUAUAAAGACUUACUAUAUUCUAUUAGUUGUUGUCAGGCCUCUGAGCUCAAGCUAAGCCAUCAUAUCCCUUGUGACCUGCACCUAUACAUCCAGAUGGCCUGGAGCAACUGAAGAUCCAC